rnacentral:rRNA from 1 species
UACGAGGGGUCCUAGCGUUGUUCGGAAUCAUUGGGCGUAAAGCGCAUGUAGGUGGCUAUCUAAGUCAGGUGUGAAAGCCCCGGGCUCAACCCGGGAAGUGCAUUUGAUACUGGAUAGCUUGAGUACUGGAGAGGAUAGCAGAAUUCCUGGUGUAGUGGUGAAAUACGUAGAUAUCAGGAGGAAUACCGGUGGCGAAGGCGGCUAUCUGGCCAUGUACUGACACUGAGAUGCGAAAGCGUGGGGAGCAAACAGG